rnacentral:tRNA from 2 species
GGACCCAUAGCUCAGCGGUAGAGCGUCGGAUUCCAGUCCCGAAGGUCAUCCGUUCAAAUCGGGUUGGGUUCA